GAUGAAGAACGUAGCGAAAUGCGAUACUUGGUGUGAAUUGCAGAAUCCCGUGAACCAUCGAGUCUUUGAACGCAAGUUGCGCCCGAAGCCAUUAGGCCGAGGGCACGCCUGCCUGGGCGUCACACGUCGUUGCCCCCCCAUCUACUCCGUCGGGAUUGCGGGGGGCGGAUGAUGGCCUCUCGUGCGCCUCGUCGCGCGGUUGGCCUAAAUGCCAAGUCCUCGGCGACGCACGCCACGACAAUCGGUGGUUGCGAAACCUCGGUUGCCUGUCGUGUGCGGUCGUCGCGCAUCGAGGGCUCGAAAAAAUUGCCGGGCUUCGGCUCGACUUUCAACGCGACCCCAGGUCAGGCGGGGUUACCCGCUGAAUUUAAGCAUAUCAAUAAGCGGAGGA
rnacentral:misc_RNA from 1 species